UACGAAGGGGGGCGAGCGUUGUUCGGAUUUACUGGGCGUAAAGGGCGCGCAGGCGGCUAUCCAAGUCAGGCGUGAAAGCCCCGGGCUUAACCUGGGAGGUGCGUCUGGGACUGGGUGGCUAGAGUUCGGGAGAGGAGAGUGGAAUUCCCAGUGUAGAGGUGAAAUUCGUAGAUAUUGGGAAGAACACCGGUGGCGAAGGCGGCUCUCUGGACCGAGACUGACGCUGAGGCGCGAAAGCGUGGGGAGCAAACGGG
rnacentral:rRNA from 1 species